rfam:Neotoma lepida isolate 417 scaffold_1226, whole genome shotgun sequence.
CUGCCGUAGCCCCAGGGACCAGCGCGCACGCCAGGGCGGCGAUUCCGCUGGUCACCCCGCGGCUGUUGACAAUUGAAUAAACACGCCGAAGCCCUGGGAUCUGUCAAUGACUGAGGCCGCCA